UGGGGAAUAUUGCACAAUGGGGGAAACCCUGAUGCAGCGACGCCGCGUGAGCGAAGAAGUAUUUCGGUAUGUAAAGCUCUAUCAGCAGGGAAGAAAAUGACGGUACCUGACUAAGAAGCCCCGGCUAAAUACGUGCCAGCAGCCGCGGUAAUACGUAUGGGGCAAGCGUUAUCCGGAUUUACUGGGUGUAAAGGGAGCGCAGGCGGCUUGGCAAGUCUGAUGUGAAAGGCUGGGGCUCAACCCCAGGACUGCAUUGGAAACUGUUAGGCUAGAGUGUCGGAGAGGUAAGCGGAAUUCCUAGUGUAGCGGUGAAAUGCGUAGAUAUUAGGAGGAACACCAGUGGCGAAGGCGGCUUACUGGACGACAACUGACGCUGAGGCUCGAAAGCGUGGGGAGCAAACAGG
rnacentral:rRNA from 1 species